rfam:Myotis davidii contig68877, whole genome shotgun sequence.
UGCCAGUUGCUUCUUACAAAUUCUGGGAAUAAACAGGUAUCUUGAAAUAGCAGGCAGAGUAAACUUGCCCCAUAUACACCUCAGCUCAGGAUCACUGCCUGGUUUGUACUGUGAAUGGGGAGACAUUG